UAAAACAAAUCCAGCUGCUCUAUGUGGAAGACAAUCUAUUAUAAAUUCCAAGUCAUUAACAACUAUUCACUUACCAAUGCGAGAGCUAAAAGGAACAAAGAAAGAUUUUCAUGUGAGAGUUUUAAAAGGUUUUACUGUUGGCUUCAAUAUUUCCUGAUUUACAGGCCCAAAAUGAACCCUCAAACUUUACCCCACAGCUGGAAACAAAUUUAUGUCUGACAGCACCCAGAUUCACGUUAAGAGAGCUACAGUAAACAGCUUGAGAAGCUUACUACGACUCAACUCGUCAUAUGGAGGAAGAGUUUAGCUAGUUGAAUAGCCGCGGUUGCUACACCAUAGCGAAGACAACAUAGUGAUAGUGAUGAAACAAUAACAAUUCUUUGCUGACUUUGUCGGCUAAGGCCCUGACAAUUCCUUAAUAUAAAAUAGUUUAGUCGUAGCAGGGACCCUAAAAAAAGACUAGGUUUUAGAAAAUGUGUCUCCCAUUUAAAUUCAUGGAUUACACCACCAUUGUGCACCUCAACCCAUUUCAAGCCCCAUAACAAUUUAUCCAUGUAAGUAAAUCUGUUUUCUUGAGUGUUUAAAUCCAAUUUUUGAAAUUUCUGUAAUCUUUAAUCCAAUUUUAGGGACAUUUCAGUAAUGAGUCAAAUAUAACAGAUGUAAACAAUCCAAUAACAAAGGAAGUAAUGACUUUCCCACAAUUCAAUUACAUUUUUCUCCUUGCAGAGUAUUUAUGGUAUUUAAGGAUCCAUCCACAAAAAUAGGAACUUCUUUGGAUUCAAUUUCAGUUUAUUCUUAUACAUGAAAGCACGAGUCACUAACAAAAAACAGCCAACAAACAAUAUCUAUGGAUGAAGGUUUCAAAGAUUAUUUAAUUUUGGACUACAUUGUGGAGAGACAGGAUAUGCAGAAGGGUCAUUAACAAUGUUCAUGGCCGUUCAUCUGCGUCUCACUGCAAUUUCAACUCGUAUCUUGCUGAUUAGGAAGAAGUGAAAUCACAUCAUUAAAUGUACCUAUAUUUGACAAACCGUAAUGAACCAGCAACGGCUUGCUGUAAUGGAUGAGAUAGCAGAGACUGAGAGCACACACUUCUGAAAAUAUCUAUAAAUAGUCUGGGCUGUUAGCAAAGGAAUGAGGAAACAGAGACAUUAAUAUUCAGGGUCUCGCUGUAAUUUCCCGCUAAUCAAAAGAUGAGAUCAGCUGCUGAAUCUGAAUCACCACUGACCUGUGCAACACACACGCACAGAAAAAAAUGCAUGCAUUGGCACAACCAGGCUGGUACAAGAACUACACACAGGUAUACAGCUAAGUCAACAUACAGAGGACGUUCAGUUUCCAUGAACAACAGGCUACACAAAAUACACACAAUAUGAUAUGUACACAUCAUAUGUGCAAGUAAAAAAAAAAGAAUUGCAACUGUAAUGGGAAAAUGAUAUGUGACCCGUUUAAAUGCUUCAUUUAUAUAACCAGUUUAUUAGUUGCAAGUGCUUAGGUCACAAAGGCCCUGACAUAAGAACUGAUGUCUCCCACUUGGAUUAGAUGUUUCCAGCAUCAUAGCUGUAGAGAUUGAAGUGUUUGUUAUGUCUAUGACCACCUUUGUUUUAGCAUGUUGGGAGAGCAGGGACACGGU
ensembl:lncRNA